GCAUUGUUGGUAUAGUGGUGGGCAUAACUGCCUUCCAAGCAGUUCACCCGGGUUCGACUCCCGGCCAAUGCA
rnacentral:tRNA from 1 species